rnacentral:lncRNA from 1 species
CAUUAACCAGAUUUUCCCUCUUCAAAUUAAAGCAACUCUCUAAUUUCCAUUUAUUUCUUCUAGUCUGGAUUUAGGAAACAAUUUGUUUCUUCCAUCUCCUCUGCACUGAUCUUCAAUAUAAUGUGAAAUUUCUAACUGAAGAAAAUAUUGAAGUCCUUACUUCAAAAGAGUGAUGAAGUCCUUACUUACAACAGUUUUUGGCACAGGUGUACAUGAUUGCUUUGGAGCAGAUGGAAGAUAUUUGGCCCAACCUUGCAGGAAACAGUGCACCCAAGAAAAGGCACAAAUUGUUACCAUGCAGUCUGAGGUCUUCUCACAUGAUAUUAGACGCCAAGCCCAGCUGUAGAAGACCCAAAUGUGGCAGAAGCAGACCCAGCUGUGGCCCGGAUGGCCUCGUGCUACCGGUGGGAACGAGAGGAUCAUCUCAAUGAAGAUGCCCAGAGAACCAUAAACCACAAAAUGGCAAAGAGGUGAAAGCAGCUAAAUCCACAAUCUCUUGAGACUGGACAGGGCUGAACUGAGUAAAUUCCAGUUUACCAUCUCUCCCAUCAGUCAUCAUACCGAAAAGAAAAAAAAAAAAAAUACCAGCAAUAAGAAGUGAACACAAGAUUUGGAACAGAGGGACCUUAAUGCUUGCUUUAUUGUUAUUGACCAGAUAACUAGAAUUAUCUGCAUUAUCUAUGCAGAAUGGGGUUUUUAUUAUUUUUACUUAAAGAACUCCCUUUGGGGGAAUAACAAAACUUUGUAAAAGCCUGGUUUUCUCAACACACCUUUAAAUGUUUUUAAAUAGUUUCAUAUCUGGUCAAGAUUCUUAAGAAUUUCACUUUUAAAUUGUGUGAAGUUACACCUGAUCUCUUCAAAAGUUCACACACUGCAAGCACAAGUUUAAAUAAAGGUCUUUAAAUUUGAAAAAAUGUGUAAAAAUUAUUUUUAAAAUAAUUAGUGUCAAAGUCAAUAAAGUGAAAUUGAUCUUGUCUCUUACUAUAUUUCAUCCUAGGUG